AUCCAGUCUACUGAAAACACAGUUUCAAAAUACAGGUGGCCAAGAGAACGCGGCAAAAUUGUCGACUGGUGUCGAGGCAAUGUGCAUUCAGAAAUUGCCUUCACUACAGGAAGCAAGCAGUGAGGUUUCACAACGUACUCUCCGAACAAGAACCAAAAGACUGAGACAGCACUUAGACAAUGUUACAGGAGGCCAACCUGCCAUACAACUGAAGCAUGUUCUAAAUAGCACCACAACUAGAUGCGAAUUGAAAGACCUCCAUGAAAAAAUGGAAAUGAAAGUUUGCAUCCCCCCCACUUCAGGAGUUGGCACUCAAGUCCGAUUUAAGGUUGUCAUGGUCUGCUCUCUAGAGCUCAAGCUGUGGCUAAGGCAGUAUAACGUCAUAAUGGCCCGUGAGAAGAACAGUAGGAGCAUUGGUCAGUUGUCCGUUGGUCAAGAGUUACUUUAGGGAGAAACU